CGCACUGCUCGUACACGUGGACACCUACCCUCCGGACGGGUAUAAACCCGGGAAACUGGGUAUAAUACCCGAUAGGUCUCGAUUGCUGGAAUGCAUCGAGAUUUAAAGCUCCGGCGCCUAAGGAUGGGUCUGCGGCCUAUCAGGUAGUAGUGGGUGUAGCGUACCUACUAGCCUACGACGGGUACGGGUUGUGAGAGCAAGAGCCCGGAGAUGGAUUCUGAGACACGAAUCCAGGCCCUACGGGGUGCAGCAGGCGCGAAAACUUUACAAUGCUGGCAACAGCGAUAAGGGAACCUCGAGUGCCAGGUUACAAAUCUGGCUGUCGAGAUGCCUAAAAAGCAUUUCAUAGCAAGGGCCGGGCAAGACCGGUGCCAGCCGCCGCGGUAACACCGGCGGCUCGAGUGGUAACCGUUAUUAUUGGGUCUAAAGGGUCUGUAGCCGGCCGGAUAAGUCUCUUGAGAAAUCCAGCAGCUCAACUGUUGGGCUUUCAGGAGAUACUGUUCGGCUCGAGGCCGGGAGAGGUGAGAGGUACUUCAGGGGUAGGGGUGAAAUCUUGUAAUCCUUGAAGGACCACCAGUGGCGAAGGCGUCUCACCAGAACGGACCUGACGGCAAGGGACGAAAGCUAGGGGCACGAACCGGAUUAGAUACCCGGGUAGUCCUAGCCGUAAACGAUACUCGCUAGGUGUCGGCCACGGUGCGACCGUUGUCGGUGCCGUAGGGAAGCCGUGAAGCGAGCCACCUGGGAAGUACGGCCGCAAGGCUGAAACUUAAAGGAAUUGGCGGGGGGGCACCACAACGGGUGGAGCUUGCGGUUUAAUUGGAUUCAACGCCGGAAAUCUUACCGGGACCGACNGCAUNU
rnacentral:rRNA from 1 species